rnacentral:rRNA from 1 species
ACCUACCCUUAGGACGUGGAUACCCCCGAGAAAUUGGGGUUAAUCCGCGAUAGAUGUAAUGUCCUGGAAUGGUAUUACGUCUAAAGGUAUUUCAUUCAUGUUUGAAAUAUGCCUAAGGAUGGGGCUGCGGCCGAUCAGGCUGUUGGUGAGGUAAUGGCUCACCAAACCUUUGACCGGUACGGGCCAUGAGAGUGGUAGCCCGGAGAUGGACACUGAGACAAGGGUCCAGGCCCUAAGGGGCGCAGCAACCGCGAAACCUCCACAAUGCACUCACGUGCGAUGGGGCUAUCUCGAGUGCCACCUGAUGAAGGUGGCUUUUCCUCGGUCUUCAAAGCCUUGGGAAUAAGAGGGGGGCAAGACUGGUGUCAGCCGCCGCGGUAACACCAGCCCCUCGAGUGGUGGGGAUGAUUAUUUGGCCUAAAGCGUCCGUAGCCGGCCGUGUAAGUCUCCCGUUAAAUCCAGCGUCUCAAGCGUUGGACUGCGGGAAGAUACUGUACGGCUAGAGAGUGGGAGAGGUCAGCGGUAUUCUGGGGGUAGGGGCGAAAUCCUUUGAUCUCCGGAGGACCACCAGUGGCGAAGGCUGCUGACUAGAACACGUCUGACGGUCAGGGACGAAAGCUGGGGUAGCGAACCGGAUUAGAUACCCGGGUAGUCCCAGCCGUAAACGAUGCAUGCUAGGUGUUGGGUUGGCCACGCGCCACCCCAGUGCCGCAGGGAAGCCGUUAAGCAUGCCGCCUGGGAAGUACGGAUCGCAAGAUUGAAACCUAUAAGGAAUUGGCGGGGGGAGCUCCUCCAGGCGGGGAGUCUUGCGGUUUAAUGGGAUUCAACGCCGGAAAGCCGA